GGUUAAGCGACUAAGCGUACACGGUGGAUGCCCUGGCAGUCAGAGGCGAUGAAGGACGUGCUAAUCUGCGAAAAGCGUCGGUAAGGUGAUAUGAACCGUUACAGCCGGCGAUGUCCGAAUGGGGAAACCCAGUGCAAUUCGUUGCACUAUCGUUAACUGAAUACAUAGGUUAACGAGGCGAACCGGGGGAACUGAAACAUCUAAGUACCCCGAGGAAAAGAAAUCAACCGAGAUUCCCCCAGUAGCGGCGAGCGAACGGGGAGCAGCCCAGAGUCUGAAUCAGCUUGUGUGUUAGUGGAACGGUCUGGAAAGUCCGACGGUACAGGGUGAUAGUCCCGUACACCAAAAUGCACAGGUUGUGAACUCGAAGAGUAGGGCGGGACACGUGGUAUCCUGUCUGAAUAUGGGGGGACCAUCCUCCAAGGCUAAAUACUCCUGACUGACCGAUAGUGAACCAGUACCGUGAGGGAAAGGCGAAAAGAACCCCGGCGAGGGGAGUGAAAAAGAACCUGAAACCGUGUACGUACAAGCAGUGGGAGCACCUUCGGGUGUGACUGCGUACCUUUUGUAUAAUGGGUCAGCGACUUAUAUUCUGUAGCAAGGUUAACCGUAUAGGGGAGCCGCAGGGAAACCGAGUCUUAACUGGGCGUUAAGUUGCAGGGUAUAGACCCGAAACCCGGUGAUCUAGCCAUGGGCAGGUUGAAGGUUGGGUAACACUAACUGGAGGACCGAACCGACUAAUGUUGAAAAAUUAGCGGAUGACUUGUGGCUGGGGGUGAAAGGCCAAUCAAACCGGGAGAUAGCUGGUUCUCCCCGAAAGCUAUUUAGGUAGCGCCUCGUGAACUCAUCUUCGGGGGUAGAGCACUGUUUCGGCUAGGGGGUCAUCCCGACUUACCAACCCGAUGCAAACUACGAAUACCGAAGAAUGUUAUCACGGGAGACACACGGCGGGUGCUAACGUCCGUCGUGAAGAGGGAAACAACCCAGACCGCCAGCUAAGGUCCCAAAGUCAUGGUUAAGUGGGAAACGAUGUGGGAAGGCACAGACAGCCAGGAUGUUGGCUUAGAAGCAGCCAUCAUUUAAAGAAAGCGUAAUAGCUCACUGGUCGAGUCGGCCUGCGCGGAAGAUGUAACGGGGCUAAACCAUGCACCGAAGCUGCGGCAGCGACACUAUGUGUUGUUGGGUAGGGGAGCGUUCUGUAAGCCUGCGAAGGUGACCUGUGAGGGUUGCUGGAGGUAUCAGAAGUGCGAAUGCUGACAUAAGUAACGAUAAAGCGGGUGAAAAGCCCGCUCGCCGGAAGACCAAGGGUUCCUGUCCAACGUUAAUCGGGGCAGGGUGAGUCGACCCCUAAGGCGAGGCCGAAAGGCGUAGUCGAUGGGAAACAGGUUAAUAUUCCUGUACUUGGUGUUACUGCGAAGGGGGGACGGAGAAGGCUAUGUUAGCCGGGCGACGGUUGUCCCGGUUUAAGCAUGUAGGCUGGUUGUCCAGGCAAAUCCGGAUAAUCAAGGCUGAGGUGUGAUGACGAGGCACUACGGUGCUGAAGUAACAAAUGCCCUGCUUCCAGGAAAAGCCUCUAAGCAUCAGGUAACAUCAAAUCGUACCCCAAACCGACACAGGUGGUCAGGUAGAGAAUACCAAGGCGCUUGAGAGAACUCGGGUGAAGGAACUAGGCAAAAUGGUGCCGUAACUUCGGGAGAAGGCACGCUGGUGUGUAGGUGAAGUCCCUGCGGAUGGAGCUGAGACCAGUCGAAGAUACCAGCUGGCUGCAACUGUUUAUUAAAAACACAGCACUGUGCAAACACGAAAGUGGACGUAUACGGUGUGACGCCUGCCCGGUGCCGGAAGGUUAAUUGAUGGGGUUAUCCGUAAGGAGAAGCUCUUGAUCGAAGCCCCGGUAAACGGCGGCCGUAACUAUAACGGUCCUAAGGUAGCGAAAUUCCUUGUCGGGUAAGUUCCGACCUGCACGAAUGGCGUAAUGAUGGCCAGGCUGUCUCCACCCGAGACUCAGUGAAAUUGAACUCGCUGUGAAGAUGCAGUGUACCCGCGGCAAGACGGAAAGACCCCGUGAACCUUUACUAUAGCUUGACACUGAACAUUGAGCCUUGAUGUGUAGGAUAGGUGGGAGGCUUUGAAGCGUGGACGCCAGUCUGCGUGGAGCCAACCUUGAAAUACCACCCUUUAAUGUUUGAUGUUCUAACGUUGGCCCCUUACCGGGGUUGCGGACAGUGUCUGGUGGGUAGUUUGACUGGGGCGGUCUCCUCCCAAAGCGUAACGGAGGAGCACGAAGGUUAGCUAAUCCUGGUCGGACAUCAGGAGGUUAGUGCAAUGGCAUAAGCUAGCUUGACUGCGAGCGUGACGGCGCGAGCAGGUGCGAAAGCAGGUCAUAGUGAUCCGGUGGUUCUGAAUGGAAGGGCCAUCGCUCAACGGAUAAAAGGUACUCCGGGGAUAACAGGCUGAUACCGCCCAAGAGUUCAUAUCGACGGCGGUGUUUGGCACCUCGAUGUCGGCUCAUCACAUCCUGGGGCUGAAGUAGGUCCCAAGGGUAUGGCUGUUCGCCAUUUAAAGUGGUACGCGAGCUGGGUUUAGAACGUCGUGAGACAGUUCGGUCCCUAUCUGCCGUGGGCGCUGGAGAAUUGAGGGGGGCUGCUCCUAGUACGAGAGGACCGGAGUGGACGCAUCACUGGUGUUCGGGUUGUCAUGCCAAUGGCACUGCCCGGUAGCUAAAUGCGGAAGAGAUAAGUGCUGAAAGCAUCUAAGCACGAAACUUGCCCCGAGAUGAGUUCUCCCUGAGACUUUAAGUCUCCUGAAGGAACGUUAAAGACGAUGACGUUGAUAGGCCGGGUGUGUAAGCGCAGCGAUGCGUUGAGCUAACCGGUACUAAUGAACCGUGAGGCUUAACCUU
rnacentral:rRNA from 2 species